GCAGAGGUUCUGGUUGCCAAGGGAAGAGAGGUACAAGUUGAAGCAUAGAUGGACAAGAAGAAAAUGAGGAUAUGAAAUGCAGGUGGUUAAUGUGGGUAAGUCUCAUCCAAUCCUUUGAAGGCCUGAAGAACAAAGAGUGAGGUUUCUGGAAGAAGAAAAUUUUACCUCAAGCCUGCAAUGUAGAAAUUCUGCUUGAGUUUCCCGCCUGCUGGCCUGCCCUGUGGAAUUCGGAGUCAAGAAGGAGUCUUGUAAGCAUUAACUGAGAUAGUAUAUGAAGAGUGCUUUUGCACCGAGUGAACCUUCAAUCAACUGUACUAGUUUGUAUGCCUGGAAGAGCUGCUAUAUGGGAUCAGAAAGAAAAAUAAGGUGCAUACGCCAGAAAAAAAAUACUUGCAUAUGAGUACUAGGAGAUGCAUGACAAUGUUCACGGCAGCAGUAUUCAUGGCAGUGAAAAAUGAAAAGAACUGAAAUGCCCAUUGAUAAAAACGUCUACUUAUUUGUGUCAUCUUUGCACAGUGGAAUUGUGCGAGUGGAAAUGAUUGAUCUACAGCUAGGAGAAGCAGCAGAGCUCAAUCUCAAAAACAUAACGUUGUGUGGAAAAAGCUAACCUCAGAACACUUUGCGGCUCUAUCUUAGCAAACCAGGAGAGAAAUUCUCCUGAUGGCCUUGAAGAAGCAAACAGCCACCUGGUUAAGCCCCUGUGGAUAGUGCCAAGUGGCAGGAAAGUGGGAGCCACCUCUAGGACCUGAGGAUUAAAGUCAGUAAGAGCUGGGACCUCACUCAUGCAGACUCGAGGACAUGAAUUCGACCAACAACUUGAAUGAGCUUGGAAGUGGAUUCUUCCCUAGUCCAGUCUUCAGAAAUUAAGAAUGUUCCCAAAGAAUGAUGGAGACAUUUCAAAAGGAUACGGAAGCCAGAUUGUGGGCGCUUCUACUGGCCAACUCUGGGACAUCGUGGACAUCAAAAUAAAUUUGUAAUAAUAAAGGAUUAUAGCCUAUUAGUUAAAUCAGAAAAAUCUGAUUUAACUAAAUGAGUAGGAGGAAAAGAAAGCUCUUCCUUAUAUUAGAAAGUCAAUUAAUAAAUGCAGAAAGGAAUGAAAAAAUUAGAAAAGCCACCAUUUGGCAACCAUGGCAGGCAGAAUGGGGAGUAUGCCUCCAGACAGUAAUUCCUUUCAAACUGGUUUAUAGGAACUCACUGAGCUUGCUGAUCGACCUCUGAGAGGCAAAGUUUCUGAAUUAUGAAGUACUGAUUAUAUAAACUUAGACAGAGACAUGCUUCAUUAUUUAAUAGGACUGUGUCAAAAGCCUACUAUUAGGAUGAUGUGUUGGGUGUGGAACAGGGUCUCUUCCUGCCAGGAACACUGGUGAUUUCACUCCGUGUUCAGGCUGAUCUUUGAAGUUGAAGACAAGCAGAAGAAUCCUUCUAAAAUUUAGCCAUGCCCAUAGGCUGGGAGGGACACUGCUCCAUUCAGAGGCAGCAAAGCACAUUACUGUAUCUCCUAUAGAGCUUUGAGCAGUCCAGUGUACAUGGAGAAACUUAGUAAAUGUUGUUGAAUUAGUGAAUGAACAAAUCAAUGGACCAAGUCAGGGGUAAGUCUUACAUUUGUCAUCUAGGUGAUUAAGAAAGGAAAAAGUAUCUGUUUCAAGAGGAUUACAAUCUAACUGUACUCCAAUAGUAAAAUUUACUCUUUUGGAAUCUGAAGACAUUCAUGAGUCUUUGCAUCUUAUUUCCUGAAUUCUAACUUCCCUUGCCUUUAUGAAUGACAAAGAAGAUGCAUACAACCUUUGUAAAUGCUUGCUGAAUUUGAACAUUAUGUUGCUUUGUGAUUGCCUCCACUUGGGAUUCCAAAUGACAUCAUGUGGAUUCACUGGAGGCCUCGGGUAGCUGGG
rnacentral:lncRNA from 1 species